GCAGUACAGGGAAGACUAUCACAUGUGAGCUGGAAGACUGCCAACAUGGAGACACGGAGAGAGCAAGAUCUAUUUUAGAGUCAUUCACCGCCUGAAAGUGACAUCUGUUGGGCACAGAUGCAAGAAAGAACAAAUGCAAACUUCCAAAUGCUAAAACAUUGUGCACAAAGAUGUGGAGCCCAGAAUGCAAAGAAAAGGAAGCACAGGAGGAGUGCUGGACAGGGAUACAAUUCAAGGAACUUUCAAGGCACCAACCAACACGUGGUUGAAAUUCUAUGCUGCUUUUAAUUAAGCAGCAUUUCUUCCUACCUUUCUCUUUCUAAAUGUUCUAAUUUUGUUAUUUUGGUUACCCCUCCUUAAAUUCAACUUGAGAUGGAAUAGAUUCAGUCAUUGUGUUGUGAAGCGAAGGAUGCCUAUAUGGUUUCAGGAAGAAAAAGGAGGGCUUCUGUCAGAAUGCCUGAGAAGUUGUAGUUUGCUAGGAGAAGCUGUAAAAUAAUAUGACAAAACUUAUCCUUUUUUGUUAAAAAAGAACUCAAAACGCAGCACAACAGCAGCAAGAAGAAAAAAGGAACAUUGCUCUUAUACCAGAAGGAAACAACUGAAAAGACAAGGCACGCAAGGAGUUUGAACCCCAAAGUAUUACCAAGAAGUAGGAAACUCUACAGCAAUUCAUCACAGAAAGAAUGCUUUUUCACAAGAGCUUCCAUUUGCAUCGGACUAGACUAGAGCAUGUCGAGCCAUCAGAGGAUGCUUCACACCCCCCCCCCACUCUGCCUGCCAUGCCUUCACAUGUCUUACAAGCAUGAACUAUUCCCAAAAUUGAACUGUGCCCACAUACUUCCUUAUUUAUAAUGCAAGCUUUAAUGUACAAAUUAUAGAGUAAAAGGCACUAGAGUGUUCCCUUGA